UUUCCGUAGGUGAACCUGCGGAAGGAUCAUUAAAGUUAUAGUCCCCUGGCCCUCUGGGCUGGGGUCUUCUAUACCACCCUUUGUUUAUUACACCUUUGUUGCUUUGGCAGGCCUGCCCUCGGGCUGCUGGCUCCGGCCGGCUCGCGUCUGCAGAGGACCUAAACUCUGUUUGUAUAUGAAGUCUGAGUACUAUAUAAUAGUUAAAACUUUCAACAACGGAUCUCUUGGUUCUG
rnacentral:misc_RNA from 1 species